UAUAUCCAAAGAACUCUGCAUCCUAUCAGUGAUUGAGAUUCUGUAUCUGUGGAAAGCUCUGCCCAAUUGCUCCAAUGCCAAGCUGCAGACGAUGGCCCAAGUGUUACAGGGGAUUGACGACGCCUCGUGUGCAGGCCUGAAAAACCUCCUUCUUGGUGCCAUAAGCAAAUGUCUACAUAAUACCAAAGAUGCCAUUCAGUAUUUUCAGCUGGCUGCAAGGAUGAGGGG